GUCGCCCAUGUUAUUUGAAUCCUCUUACU
rnacentral:sRNA from 1 species